AAAGUCGUAACAAGGUUUCCGUAGGUGAACCUGCGGAAGGAUCAUUACAGAGUUCAUGCCCUAACGGGUAGAUCUCCCACCCUUGAAUAUAUACCUUUGUUGCUUUGGCGGGUCGCAUCGUCCACCGGCUUCGGCUGGUGAGUGCCCGCCAGAGAACCCUAAACUCUGAAUUAAAGUGUCGUCUGAGUACUAUAUAAUAGUUAAAACUUUCAACAACGGAUCUCUUGGUUCUG
rnacentral:misc_RNA from 1 species